rnacentral:rRNA from 1 species
AUUGAACGCUGGCGGCAGGCCUAACACAUGCAAGUCGAGCGGAAGAAGGGUGCUUGCUCCUGGAUCCAGCGGCGGACGGGUGAGUAAUGCCUAGGAAUCUGCCUGUUAGUGGGGGAUAACGUCCGGAAACGGGCGCUAAUAACGCAUACGUCCUGAGGGAGAGAGUGGGGGAUCUUCGGACCUCACGCUGUCAGAUGAGCCUAGGUCGGAUUAGCUAGUUGGUGGGGUAAAGGCCUACCAAGGCGACGAUCCGUAACUGGUCUGAGAGGAUGAUCAGUCACACUGGAACUGGAACACGGUCCAGACUCCUACGGGAGGCAGCAGUGGGGAAUAUUGGACGAUGGGCGGAAGCCUGCACCAGCCGUGCCACGUGUGUGAAGAAGGUCUUCGGAUUGUAAAGCACUCUAAGGUGGGAGAAAGGGCAGUAAGUUAAUACCUUGCUGUUUUGACGUUACCAACAGAAUAAGCACCGGCUAACUACGUG